UAGUUUAUAAUUUUAGUUAAUGUUGAAUAAUUAUUAAUAAUUUUAAACUGGUAGUGAAAUGUUAAUCGAUUUUAAUGAUAUCUAGUUUUUUUAGAAAUAAAUUUAAUUUAGUAUUUAAUUUUUUUUAAUUAUAAUUCUUAAUUAUUGAAAAUAUUUAAAUAUAAUUAUUUUAGGGAUUAGCUUAAAAAAGUAUUAAUAACAAUUUUAAAAAUUUUUAUUUAAAAAUAUUUAUGAUAAUAUAAAUUUUUAGUAAGUAUGUUAUAAUUUAUAUUAUAAUUUAGAUUAAUUUAAGAUUUUGUUUUAAAUUUUUAUAAAAAAUAUAUUUAACUAUAAUGAUUAUGAUAUAAUGAUAAUAUUAGUAAAUUAUUAAAUUUUAAUUGUAUUAAAUAGUAGAAUUUAUUUUAAAUUAAAAUUAAAGAAUUAGACAAAUAUUUUAUUCACCUGUUUAUCAAAAACAUGGUUUAUAGAUUUUAAUUAUAAAUCAGUUCUGCCCUGUGAAAUAUUUUAUUUUAACGGCUGCAGUAUAUUGACUGUACAAAGGUAGCAAAAUCAAUUGUUUUUUAAUUGGAAACUGGUAUGAAAGAAAUGAUGAAAUAAAAAUUGUUUCAAUUUUAAAAAUUGAAUUUAUAUUUUAAGUUAAAAUUCUUAAAUUUUUUUCUUGGACGAGAAGGCCCUAUAGAAUUUUAUAAUAAUUAAUUUAAAAGAGUUUAAAUGUUAAAUUAAAUUAUUUUAUUUAAUUAUAUUUAGUUGGGAGGAUUGUAAAAUUUA
rnacentral:rRNA from 1 species